rnacentral:rRNA from 1 species
GACGAACGCUGGCGGCGUGCUUAACACAUGCAAGUCGAACGGAAAGGCCCUGCUUGCAGGGUACUCGAGUGGCGAACGGGUGAGUAACACGUGGGUGAUCUGCCCUGCACUUCGGGAUAAGCCUGGGAAACUGGGUCUAAUACCGGAUAGGAGCCAUUUUUAGUGUGAUGGUUGGAAAGUUUUUUCGGUGUAGGAUGAGCUCGCGGCCUAUCAGCUUGUUGGUGGGGUAAUGGCCUACCAAGGCGGCGACGGGUAGCCGGCCUGAGAGGGUGGACGGCCACAUUGGGACUGAGAUACGGCCCAGACUCCUACGGGAGGCAGCAGUGGGGAAUAUUGCACAAUGGGCGCAAGCCUGAUGAAGAGACGCCGCGUGGGGGAUGACGGCCUUCGGGUUGUAAACUCCUUUCGCUAGGGACGAAGCUUUUUGUGACGGUACCUAGAUAAGAAGCACCGGCUAACUACGUG